rnacentral:lncRNA from 1 species
UUGGUUUUGGUAAUUUCACGCCAGCUGGCCCAUAUGUCGGUCUCUUUCCAGUCAUAAGACAAAUAAUCGACUUGAGUUAGAGCAUUUUUCCGAAUAUCAUUAUCGUCGGCUCCAGUAGUAAGAAGUUGUAGCCUAAGAUAAGGGGUGAUGUGAGGGUCGAGCGGCCGCUCAUUAUCUGGAGCAGCUGGCUUGUAGAAUGCAUUCGAUGAAGCACUGAUGGAAGUAGAAGGUAGGCUAGAGGGUUUGAAUGCUGCAUCAGCAUCGUCUUCAGGGGAUGAGACAAUUGGAGAAGUUUCUUCAUGAGUAUUCUUUGUCUGAGAACGAUCGCUAUCUUUCAAUGGCUGAAACGAAGGUGAAGAGGUAAAGUACCAGGUUGUAUCGUCAGCAUCCACGUCCUUAGUAGGCCUAGGAGAAGCCAAUCCAUCCUUACUGACAGCAGACGAAGAGGCACCACGAUGAUUAUCGAAAAAAUCGUAAGAUAAAUACGUUUCAUUAAGAGAGUAAGAAUUUUGAUGAGAAUUAGUGUAUGCAGGGUUUAUGUGGAUUGGAACACUACUUUGUUGCCCCACGGCAUCAAAUACGGAGGAGUCUUUGGAAAAUGGAAUCGCUGUGGAGUAAGUAUCAUUGUUAGAGUGAUUCAUGCCAUCCAAUUGCAUGCGCCUGGAAGGAAAGUCUGAUAUAUGAUUAUGUUGGGUGUCCUGUUCUGAAAUAGGAUAAUUGGAGUUCUCAGUCAUUAGAGAUUCAUUUCCUUUGCGAAAGGGGAAAUACAAAUCGUUCAUGUUGUCACUAAACUCCCCAUUUGGCAACUGAUAAGUCUGAAAUUCAUCGUUGACAGAGUUCACCGAAUCAUUAAAGGAGGGUGAGCUAUAAUUUCGACGCAAAAACGGCUUUUCUUUACUCAUACUCAUCCGGGAGAUAGUCUCCUUCACCAUACAUUGAUCAUUGGCAUCAGGUUUGUUAGACAUGCAAACAAAUUACCAACACAAUUCGUGAUGGCUAACUCCCUAAAUGCAACAAUUGUAUCCAGGACGUAGAUGUUUCAAGUUUCCAAUAUAAUUAUAGCUUUGAUAAAUAGCUAUACAGCAAUUCUCAAUACGGAUUGUCGUUACCACAAAAAUAGUUGUUAUUGGCAGCAAUUAGAAAAAAUGUGAGCGACUCUUACUUAUACCCCUCUCAUCCGAGGAAGGGUGUUGUAUUAUUUUGUACUUUUAGAAAUAGUGAAUGUUGCUGUGUUUGGCCGAGAUACAAAGUACUUCGUUCACUGAUGCAACAACCUCGUUAAUGACUGGAAGAUGAUCUGGGGGAAAUGGAUAUGUACUUUACAAAGGAACUGGAGGAAAAGUGGGGAAGGUAUAGAAGGACUGACAACCAAAAAGUCAAUUGCAAUAACGUGACUACUGUUGUUUCAAGGGGAUCUUUGAAAAAUAGCCCCUAAUAAACAAUGAAAGAGUAAUAGAACAAAGCUAAAUUUUUUUAACGUACUGUAAAAACUCGUACGAACGUAAAGUUAUUAUUUACUAUUUCUCAACUUUUUUAACUUUUUAAUGAGGGCAACUUUACUAACAAAAAAUCAACGAAUUAGAACGUGUUGCGUUGUGUACAUAGCGAGAGUUAAAGAAACGACUUUUUGUUUGAAAGAGCUGGGCAUAGCUGGGGAAUCAAGAUUUAAGGUAUGUAAACAUUCAUGCCUUGCUAAGAGUGGUUGGUUGAGUUUAAAGAAAGUAAGCAAACACUUGUUGAUGAAUUGUGGAGGAGUUUUCUUGCUUAGAAAAAUAAUAAAAAUAAAAAAGAUAUGAGUUUGUAUGGAUCAGCUGGUACUGGAGUUUUGAUUAUUACUUGAAGAGCGCUUUUUUUUUAAACCGGUUUGGGCUUAACAUAUGUGUUUGGAACUUGAAACAAAAAUAGAUUAAUAGUUUCUUCUGAAAAAAAAAUUCUGGAGGUCCUUUAUUGCUUUAGCAAAGAUAAAGCACAUAAAGCUUCAUUGAACCACUUAGAUAACCAUUUUUGAACAUAAACUUUUGACGGAUUUAGAUACUAUAUCAACAAAAGAACAAGAAAUAAUUGACAAUGCUUUUUUGAUUUAAGCCAUCUUGCAGUUAGAUGAGGGGUACAUGUGAAUGAUGGUUUGUGCAUUGAUGGAGUACCACAGAGUAGAAAUUUACUUGAUUAGUAUUGAAUAUACUUUUGAAGUUAUCCAAACCGAAGGAUUUGAUGCAUCAGAAACAAUAGCAAAGUAACUUCGAUAAAGUACUCUCAAAUUUAGUGGCAUAUAUGUGUGCUUCC